rnacentral:lncRNA from 1 species
UUUUUUUUUUUUUUGGUGGCACCUUCAAUCAUUUAAAACCAGUACAGUGUAGAAAGUACUUGGUAAAUUAUGGUGCCUGCCACCUGAUGCAGUCUCAGUCCCCUGCUGUCCACAGUUACUGUGAUGAGGAAAUAUUUCCCAGACAGUUUUCAUCGUGGCUGCUUUUACAGGCCCAACCAUUCAGCCUCCAUUGUCCCAGCAAAGCAUAUUAGCUUUAUGUCUUUAGGUUGUCCAGCUUCUGUAAUAGCUUUCAUUUCUGUGCUAAAACACAAUGACUAAAAGUGACUUAUGGAAGAGUUUAUUUUCCUUAGAUGAUGUCCAGAGGGAGAAAAUCCAUAGUAGCAAGGAAAGCAUGGCAGCAGGCAUCUUGAUCAGAAAAGCUGACUGAUCACACUUUGUCACAGAGGAAGCCCAGAGAUCACAACUUUAACUGCAAACCCAAGCCAAGAAUUGAAAUGAAGUGUAGCAAGGCUGUAAGUUCUCAAAGCCUGGCUCUAUCCUCCAGUGAUGCACUUCUUUGACCAGGCUGUGCGUUCUACCCCAUGGCCCUCUUCAAGGUUCAUAACCUCCCCAACAGUAGUACCAUUAUCAGGAAGACUACAUGUUCAAACACAUGCACCUACUGGGGCGUUUCUCAUUCAAACCACAACACAUAAAAACAUUUUUCUCUGAAGGAUGAUAAAGUUUGUCAAAAAUGUUUAUCCAAGGGGGCUGGAGAGAUGGCUCAGUGGUUAAGAGCACUGCCUGCUCUUCCAGACAUCCUGACUUCAGUUCCCAGCUGAACAUACGACUCAACAAUCAUCUGUAAUGGGAUCCGAUGCCCUUUUCUGAAGUGUCUGAAGACAGCUGCAGUGUACUCAGAUAUAUAAAAUAAAUAAAUCUUUAAAAAUUUGUUUAUUCAAAAGACCGAGUACUGACCCAAAAUUAUGAUAAUAUUUUUUUUUCCCUUCCAGCUUCAGCAGCUAAUACAAACCUUACAGAUACAGCAGCAGAAGCCUCAGCCUUCUAUCCUGCAGGCCUUGGAUGCUGGUCUUGUGGUUCAGUUACAGGCACUCACUGCACAGCUCACAGCUGCAGCUGCUGCAGCCAACACACUUACGCCCUUGGAUCAGGGAGUCUCUUUCAACAAGGUAGUGAUUAAAGCUACUGAUAUGUUACAUGUGAACUGAAGGCUAUUAUAUAGAUUCUGCUGUGUAGAUUAUGUUUUAUUACAGACUUGUGUGUUUGCUACUAAUACCUAAUCUGUCUGCCUCAGCCUCCCAAGUACUGUCUGUGUUCUAUCAUUUGCCUUGAUAAAAUAAUCAGUAUUGAAAGUUCAAAGAAAAUUUUCUAGAAGUUAAUAUUAUUGUAUAUUUUAUGUAUAGGCUUAACUAUGGAAAAAGUGUUUUUAAAAUUGAAACUGUUUUAUGAAUGAUUUGUGUUGGUGUGUGUGUGUGUGUGUGUGUGUGUGUGUGUGUGUGAGAGAGAAAGAUAGCCUCAUCAUAGUUGUCCCGAGUGUAUCUUGGAAAUGCUAUGUGUGUGUAUUUACAUAUGCACAUACAAACAUGUAUAUGCAUGUUAUUUCUGUUAUAAUUAGUUUCAUAGAAAAUCAAUCCUGAUUUCUUGGAUAAUGACUUGCCUAUUUAAUCAGUUGCUCCUAAUUUAUUCCUAGUAGGUAGACCACAUUUUAUCAUGAAGUUAUUGCUAGUUAACACUUGGUUAUGGUCCUAGAUGUUUUUUAAGCUACAGUUCCAUAAUCCUUCAUUUUCUACUUGGUAGGUAAUGACAGGUAGAGAUCCCUAAGUCUGAGGCCAGCCUGGUCUACAGAGCAAGUUUCAUGAUAGCCACUACACAGAGAGACUCUGUCAUGAAAAACAGUACUGUGCUUUAGUAGUUGUACUGCCUUGUCAAAAUUGGUUCUGCUCUGGGAUGAUGCCGUAUCCCUCAGUCCUCCAAUGAUUCCUUAACCUCCACAGGAGCCUUAAAACCAGAGAUAGAGCUAAACCAUCUAAAAACGUUUAUACAUACUUGUGUUAAUGCUUAAUAAAUAAAGUAAGCACCGUGAGAAAAGAAGAACCAGUAAUGCAUGAUUGUGAGCUCUGUUGAAAAAUCACAACAGCAAUGUUUUCAGACUUCAUUGUGCACAAAUGAAUGGAGUUGCCUUGAUGACUGUGUGAGGGGACUGCUGUAUGUUACAGUCCUCUAAACAUGUGUUCAGAAUGCCUACUCUACUACAGAAUAAUGUACCAUAGCACAGAACAUUUACUUCGCAUUUCAGUAGCAUUUGUAAGAUGCAUGUUGGAAGCACUUUUUUAAUUCGCCUUUCUCCCUUCCUUAGAAGUUGAUGGAUAGAUUUGAUUUUGGGGAAGAUUCUGAGCAUAGUGAAGAAUCCAAAAAGGAAAUGCCUACUCCUCAACUGUAAGAAUUAUGAUUUUCUUUAUACCCAUGUUUUCUUUUUCUGUUGUUCUAAAUACUGGGUGGAAUGUUAGCAGACUUAAGAGUUGGAGUGAGUUUUUCAUAAGUUGGGUUGUUUCAGGCUCUAAGCACCAAAAUUGUGAGGGGCGGUGGGCUUGUUGUCUUAACAAGAUUAUUUGGACUCUUUUUUCAGAUCUGUGCAAUUGGUUGUGAUAUAUCAAAGUUCCCUAUAAGAAAAUUAAUAAGCAUUAGUAACUCCAGUUGUGAUAUUUUCUUAUAUCUUUGUUGGCUUAAAAUAAUUUAGUUGUAAGAAUAUUUGUAAUAGGUGGACAGAUGCUUCUGUCAGAGUCCACUUCUAGAGUAUUUGCCAAUUUCUGAGAAGUACAUUGAACUAGUUAGAAUUAGGAAUUCUAAGGAUUGGAAUUAUAUGGGCUUUAUUUAUUUCAAUGAAUGGAGUUUGUAUUUUUAUUUAAAUUUGUUGCUUUCUCCCCUUAAAUGGCUGUACAAAGCCCUGUGUUUGUGAGUGUGUUUAUAAAGACCAAUAGGAGAGUAUGAGGUGGAAGUUGAGAGAGAAUGAGUGGGAUCUCACCCAAGCAGAUGUAGCAGAUCUUAUAUACCAGGAUAAUGUGUAAGAAUACAUAAGAUAAAGUACAUUCUUUUGACAUAGGGACUUUCUUGGCAGAAGUUUAAAAAUAGUAUUGUAGAUAGUAAACAGUGAAGUUGAAAGAGCCAUUUGAGGUCAUGUGGAUGAGGGCGCUAAACAGUGUAAGACGUUGUUAAUGGUCCUGAGGGGAGAGUCAGUGCUUUCCCACCUUCCGAGGAAAGAGUUUGUGGACUGUUCUAGUGUGACAUGUUCUGUUGAGCUGAGUUCCUUCAUUUUCUAGACAUCAAUUCAAACGCUGUGUAUUGAAAGAAAAAUCAGUAGACUCCAAUUUCUUUCAUGACAGCAUCUGUCAUAUUUGAAGAUAGAUACCAUUCUUCCCAUAGGUUCAUCUGCUCCAGGUGACAACAGUCUGGAGACCUCUCACCACCCUGCUUGUUCCUUUUAGGGCUCCCUCUUUAUUCUCAUGUCUUACCUUCUAGCACCCAGGAUUACAGGGAUAACCCAGAGUGCAGUUAAAUUAUUAUUUUCUCUUAUCUACACACGUUUCUGUUUACAUACCUCAUAACAUGAUGCUUUUUUAAAGGACACAUACUCUAUAAAGUUUAUGGGCAGUGAUAAUUGUAGAUUUUACACAUCCUGAUUGAUAGGACAUUUUCCACUGUCUCAUGAUUAAACGUGAGUUAUUAACUUGAUAAUGUUUACACGUUUACCUUUUUUGAAACAAGUGUUUGCAGUUGUACAUUACCAUAAUAAAAGUUACUAAUUUAUAUGUAUAGCAUGUCCAUUUAUAUGUGUAGCAUGAGGCAGUGAUGUCAGCUUCGUAACAGAGCAGCUAUAAUGCUUUUUUGUUGAAACGUUAUUGAGUUCUUUCUCUUCUAAUGGGUUGAUGUUUCAGAGUAUUCCACUUUGGUUAUUAAUAUUUCAAAAAGAGAACACUGCAGUAGAGUUCCUUGUGUGAAGUGCUUUUGUGUGUGUGUGUGUGUGUGUGUGUGUGUGUGUGUGUGUGUGUGUUGUUGUUGUUGUCUGCCUGCUUGCUUGCUCUCCGUUCCCUUUUGUCAUCUUAACAUGCAGCUUCACCUUUUGUUUCUCACUCAGCUCUCACGUUUCAGAGUCUGUGAACAACUCCAUCUUCCAUCAGAUAGCAGAACAGCUGCAGCAGCAGAACUUGGAGCAGUUGCGACAGCAGCUCCUGGAGCAGCAGCAGCCUCAGAAGGUCCGUGCUCCCCGCAGUUACUGGGCAUUCCGGGGGACGCUUGAGUGGUGUUCCUUCUUAGUCUUUAGAGCUAUUUGUUCAUCUUUGUUUUGCCAGCUACUUUAUGACCUUUCUAGUGUAUUUCCUUUCAAAGACCUUUAUAGCUGUGCCUAUUA